CUCCUCUCAAGGUCCCACCUGGAGAAUUUCCAGUACUCUACCAAUCUUGACUAUGAGAGGGAGAGUCGAGCAGAGGCCUACCCAUUCCAUUCCUAGCUUGGCCAGUGGCUAGCAAGUGGAAGCCAAUUUGCUACAAGU